rnacentral:rRNA from 1 species
CGCGUAGGCGGUUUGUUUAGUUAGGCGUGAAAUUCCUGGGCUUAACCUGGGGGACUGCGCCUUAAUACAGGCAGACUUGAGUUCGGAAGAGGGUCGUGGAAUUCCCAGUGUAGAGGUGAAAUUCGUAGAUAUUGGGAAGAACACCGGUAGCGAAGGCGGCGACCUGGUCCGAUACUGACGCUGAGGCGCGAAAGCGUGGGGAGCAAACAG